UACGUAGGUCCCGAGCGUUGUCCGGAUUUAUUGGGCGUAAAGUGAGCGCAGGUGGUUUAUUAAGUCUGGUGUAAAAGGCAGUGGCUCAACCAUUGUAUGCAUUGGAAACUGGUAGACUUGAGUGCAGGAGAGGAGAGUGGAAUUCCAUGUGUAGCGGUGAAAUGCGUAGAUAUAUGGAGGAACACCGGUGGCGAAAGCGGCUCUCUGGCCUGUAACUGGCACUGAGGCUCGAAAGCGUGGGGAGCAAACAGG
rnacentral:rRNA from 1 species